AUGCCAUCAUCGGCGGCCCCUCGGCGAUGGAGUACACACUGUUGGACAGCAAGGUGCGUGGUACCGGGGCCGGCCGCCAGCAAGCGAUGUGGGUCUCGACGGCCUUCUGCGGUUCACCGACGAAGCCUUCCGACAAGAAGAAGUCCAGGUGAGGUUGAUUUCUCCGGGUGCGACGGUGGCAACUGCGGGAGGCCUCCAGACUGUGUGGCCGGAAGCGGUGUUGCUGACGUUCGGCGAGGCCCCGAUGGCGCGCGGCGGAGCUCGCGCUCGGCGGCCAUGGUGACGGCCAGCGCAGGGCACGCGCGACUCUGCGAUGGCGAGCACGAGGACACGGAGGAGCUCAUGCAGCGCGUCACGGCGGUGCAGGUCGACAGUGGGUGGUGGGUGCUUGCGGCGGUGCAUGUUCAGGCGGAGCUCGCGGAGCAAUGA
rnacentral:rRNA from 1 species